AAAAACAUUUCCUCUUGGUAUAAGAGGUAAGGCCUGCUCACUGACUAGGUUGAAGAGCCGCAGUAUAUUGACUGUGCUAAGGUAGCAUAAUCAUUAGUCCUUUAAUUGGGGACUGGUAUGAAUGGCUAAACGAGAAAUUAGCUUUCUUUGUUAUGGUUUGUUGAAUUUAACUUGUAAGUGAAAAGGCUUACAUGAUUCAGAAAGACGAGAAGACCCUAUAGAGUUUUACAAAGGCCUAAAAUACAGCUUAUUAGUUUUUAAGGGUUAUAUUUUGGAAAUUUGUUUGGUUGGGGCGACAUAAAGAUAAAAAAAACUCUUUGUAGUAUAAACUUUGGUGGAAGAAAAGGUUUGAUCCUCUAAAAGGGAUUAUAAGAAAAAAUUACCUUAGGGAUAACAGCGUAAUCUUCUUUUAGAGUUCCAAUCGACAAGAAGGUUUGCGACCUCGAUGUUGGACUAAAAUUUGGGCAAGGUGCAGCAGCUUUGUUUUUGGGUCUGUUCGACCCGUAAUAUUUUACAUGAUCUGAGUU
rnacentral:rRNA from 1 species